AUGGAAACUGAGGUCGCCGGCAAGGAGAACGCGCGCGGCAACAAUGACGAGGCCACCGCCACCGAAGAAGAGGCCGGCGCUGAUGAGCCCGCCGGCGAAGAGGCCGCCAAAGCUGCCGUCGCAGAAGCUGGCGAGGGAUCCGGCGAUCGCACUGACAGCCCCGAGGCUGCAGGAGCUUCAGGCGCUGCGCCGACCGCCGAUCCCUCCGCCACUGCUGCAGCGCCAGGCUCCGAAGAGCCCCAGCCCGGCGCCUAUCUGAAGGCGGGCGAUGGCAUCUUCAUCAAGCUCCCCUGGGCGUCAAGCUCCAGGGCGCCGGUCGAAGGAGAGAUCUUGGAUGGAGAGGUGCUCGCUUCCGCUGGGCUGACGCUGGUCGACGCGCCAAGCAGCAGCAGCGACGAGCCUGAGGAGGAGCGGCUGCUGCGGAAGCUGCUGUCUCUUUACCGCACCCGACAAACCAAACUGGCAUCUCAAGAGGCGCUUGUCGCAAAGGCGGGAGUGGAUAUUGAGAAGCGCGUGGAGGAACUCCGGGGUCUGAGGCAGGAAGCUCUCCGAUACCUAGCACAGGAGAGGGAGCAGCUUGCCGAGGAGCGGAAAGCCUUCCUCCUUGGGAAGGCUGAGGUUGAAGAGCAGCAGCGGCUUGCAGCCGAGAAGCUAUCUGCGCGGGAAGGCGAAUUGGCGCAGCGCAAGGUCAACCUUGACAGCCACGAGGAGGAGCUUGCCGCGCGCGAGCAAGGAAUUGGCGGGGCUCUCAAGGAAGCAGAGGAUGCUGCCGCAGCUGCCGACGCCGCCAAGAAGGAGCUGGAGACGAAGGUGGCGCAGCUGGAGGCUGAUCUCAAAGCGAGCGGCGAGGAGCUUGCUGCGCUCAAGCGUGAGCGCGAGAAGGACGCCGCCGCUCAUGGCGAGCUGCAGGGUCGUCUCGCUGAGAGGAGCAAAGAGCUCAGCGCCGCCAAGGACUCCAAUGCGGAUCUCGAGUUGAAGCUGGCUACUUUGACUCAGAUGAUGGACGGCGCCAGGGAGCAGGAGGUGUCCUUGAAGGAGAAGAUCAAGGCCGACGAGGCGUUGCUGGCGAGUGCUGCUGCCGCCCAGAACAGCUUCAGGGAGACUGUGGAGCACUGGACCGAGGGUCUCGUGGAUGCUACCGCAGCCAUCGGCAGGGAGUUGGCGCAGCUAGGGAUGGAGGAUUUUGGGUACUCCUCCGACGAGCACCUCCAAGCCAGCGCCAAGCUCAGCCUGUUCUUCAAAGGCGUGGCGACGGCCCUCCAGUGGCUCCAGGAGAAGAUCCCAAAGCAGCUGGCCGACGAGUCGCGCAAGAUCUGCGCGGGGGCUCUUCAGAAGGUGCUGGUGAAGGUGGCCUUCCGCAACCCAGGCCUCAACCUCACCAACGUCCUCAGCUCCUUGCCGCCGGAUGCUGAUCUGGAAGCGCUCAAGGCCCUUGUCGCACCCAUUGUGGACAAGGUGAGCGGGAUCAAGAGGGUUGAGGGCGAUCGCGUAGAUUAG
rnacentral:rRNA from 1 species